CUAAAGUUCCCAAAAUAAAUAGGGAUAUUCAGCGAACCACAAAAUCUGGAAGAUAAAGCAAGUGCUUACCUGUUUGCUUUGCCAUCUGCUCUGUUUUGGAUUGAAUAAAAAUGGUACAGAUUGGACAAGCUACACCAUAUGAAGAAGCCUGGGAAACUAAGGAAUUUGGGGCCUGGACUGAAGGUACAUUUCCAGAAGAUUUGCAUUUAUGUCUUCUGGACACCAAGUGCUUACAAGUAGACAAGCUGAGCUGAGCUGAGGUAGCCAAAAAUUUCCCAUGAAGUGUAUCGUAGCCUCCAUAUGGAUUCUCUGUGAAAUGAUACCAACCGAAGUGCGACCGUGGCCUUCUGGCAGGGUCUCUGCAUUGAAGAGAGUGUACCUAAGUCUCUGUGUGUCAGGAAUGAGAAGAUCCAGCAGAAGAGAAAAAAGAGACAGCCUUUGCUAUCAUGAGUCCUACAUUCUCCUGUAUUAUUGUGUGUGUGCAUAUUGAGGGAGUGGUUACGUGAGUUAAGAUGUGGGGAACACCCGGAAUACAGACGUUCAGUAACUUUAACUAUUAUUUAUCGAGGCACUACCGUGCACAGGAAUUUUACAUCUAAUUUUCAUAACACAAUAGUCCAUAUUUUAAACAUGAUAAAACUAAUUGAUUUGGUAAGAAUUAAAUGGUUUC